rnacentral:rRNA from 1 species
CCCUAGCCACAGCUCAUCCAAGCGCUUUUUAAGGCACAAUGGUUCGGGCCUCCUCGAAAUGUUUUUAGGAACAGCGUCGUGCUUAUCGUCAUGGGUGUAUAGCACUGGAAGGACNAGGGGCCCCACAAGGUUACCGAACCCUACCAAACUCGGAAUUCCAUGACUUUACUACACGGCAGUGAGUCGGCGGGGGCUAAGCUCCGUCGUCGAGAGGGAAACAACCCAGACCUUCAGCUAAGGUCCCCAAGAAUAUACUAAGUGGUUAAGGAAGUAGAGUCUCACAGACAACCAGGAUGUUGGCUUAGAAGCAGCCAUUCAUUGAAAGAGUGCGUAACAGCUCACUGGUCAAGCGACUCCGCGCCGAAAAUGUAUCGGGGCUUAAGUAUAUCACCGAAGCUAAGGACCGGAUCCUUUUUGGAUCUGGUGGUAGAGGAGCGUCGCCAUCCGCAUUGAAGGUCGACCGACAAGGACGACUGGAGCGUUGGCGAGCGAGUAUGCUGACAUCAGUAACGAUAAAAACAGGUGAAAAAACCUGUUCGCCGAAAAUCCAAGGUUUCCUGGGCAAGGCUAAUCCCCCCAGGGUGAGUCGGAUCCUAAGGCGAGGCCGAAAGGCGUAGUCGAUGGUAAGCUGGUAAACAUUCCAGCACCACAGUAUCAAUGUUUGAGCGAAGGAGWGWCGCAGGAUGCUAGGCCAUCCAGGGCGACGGAUAUCCCUGGCCCGACYCGUAGGCUGAGAUGUAGGAKAMWACGCAUCUCGUUAAGGCUGAGGGGAAGGGGGAAGGCGGACUUCGGUCCAACCAACGGGCUUAUGCACGACUGCCAAGAAAAGCUUCGUUUCGCGAGUUGAUAUUGUGUCCGUACCGUAAACCGCCACAGGUGGAUUGGAUGAGUAAUCCUAGGCGCUCGAGAUAACUCUGGAGAGGGAACUCGGCAAAAUUGCCCCGUAUCUUCGGAAUAAGGGGCGCCGUUUCCGGUGAUAAGAUUUACUCUUUGAGCUGGCGACGGUCACAGCAAAGAGGUUCAGGCGACUGUUUAUCAAAAACAUAGCACUAUGCGAAGUCGCAAGACGCUGUAUAUAGUGUGACUCCUGCCCGGUGCCGGAAGGUUAAGAGGAGGUGUUAGCUUCGGCGAAGCACUGAAUUGAAGCCCCGGUAAACGGCGGCCGUAACUAUAACGGUCCUAAGGUAGCGAAAUUCCUUGUCGGGUAAGUUCCGACCUGCAUGAAUGGAGUAACGAUCUGAACGCUGUCCCCUCCAGGGACUCGGUGAAGUUGAGGUUCCAGUGAAGACGCUGGAUACCCGCAGUAAGACGGAAAGACCCCGUGCACCUUUACUACAGCUUAGUAGUGAUGCUUGGUUCAACGUGUGUAGCAUAGGCGGGAGACUUUGAAGUCAGGGCGCCAGCCUUGGUGGAGUCUCAGGUGAAAUACCGCCCUCGUUGUAUCGUGCAUCUAACCUGGAGGAGUUAUCCUCCUCAGGGACACUGCUUGGUGGGUAGUUUGACUGGGGCGGUCGCCUCCUAAAUUGUAACGGAGGCGCACAAAGGUCCACUCAGCGUGGUUGGCAAUCACGCGACGAGGGCAAACCUAUAAGUGGGCUUGACUGCGAGACUGACAAGUCGAGCAGGGACGAAAGUCGGUGUUAGUGACCCUGCAGUC